GACGAACGCUGGCGGCGUGCCUAAUACAUGCAAGUCGAACGCUUCUUUCCUCCCGAGUGCUUGCACUCAAUUGGAAAGAGGAGUGGCGGACGGGUGAGUAACACGUGUGUAACCUACCCAUCAGAGGGGGAUAACACUUGGAAACAGGUGCUAAUACCGCAUAACAGUUUAUGCCGCAUGGCAUAAGAGUGAAAGGCGCUUUCGGGUGUCGUUGAUGGAUGGACCCGCGGUGCAUUAGCUAGUUGGUGAGGUAACGGCUCACCAAGGCCACGAUGCAUAGCCGACCUGAGAGGGUGAUCGGCCACACUGGGACUGAGACACGGCCCAGACUCCUACGGGAGGCAGCAGUAGGGAAUCUUCGGCAAUGGACGAAAGUCUGACCGAGCAACGCCGCGUGAGUGAAGAAGGUUUUCGGAUCGUAAAACUCUGUUGUUAGAGAAGAACAAGGACGUUAGUAACUGAACGUCCCCUGACGGUAUCUAACCAGAAAGCCACGGCUAACUACGUG
rnacentral:rRNA from 1 species